UUCCAUCCAGAGUUCCAUCCGCUUGAACAGAACAUGCUGGGUGUGAAGACGGCAAGAAGAGAUGAAGAAGGAAAAGGAGACAGAUUUUUCAGUAUUGUAAACCACCCAGAAAGCUUCAGCUUUGGGCAGGAUGGAUGGAUGGAUAGAAGAUAGGUAGGUAGCUUAAUUGGAGCCAGCAAAACUUCAGAAUGCCCUUCAGUGAUGGGACUCAGCUCUGGAACAUGUACAGUCAGGGUAAUUUGUGUUAAAUGUGGAUGUGAACAUAUACAGAAUUACUCUCCCCUGAUCACAACCAGCAGCCAGGCAUUGAAGGAAGCUUCCCCAAAUUGGAAAGCAACAAUUCCAGGGAAGACCUGAAAAGCCUUGACACAAGAGAUCUGUAUUUAGAUCUCCGAAGUUCACUACUUUUACUUAAAAACAGCUGAUGAGCUAGGGAGCAGAUUCAAACUGGAUUAAACCAGUAACACCCAUGCUAUUUUCCAGAUCAAGAUCAUGUCCAACACAUGUUGCUCUGUGGCAGCAAAACUACCUGCAUUUUUUCCUAUUUAAGGACAAGGGAACAGAUUGCCUUUCAGAUGGUGUUGGACUACAAUUCCAAUGGUCAAUCUUCUCUGAAGCUGGCUGGAGCUGACUGGAACUAGAAACAAACACCAUUGGGAUACUCACAGGUUUCUUAUUUCUGCUUUAAAGGGACAAAUAGCAGAGAGCAGCCAAGUGGGACACAAAUGGGAUUGAAUAAUCAUAAAGCAAUAUAGUUAAAUCCCUCAUCCUUUGGCACAUCUGUUCUGAUCCACAUCAUAUUUCCAUGCAUGCUGCAUUUGUUUGUUGCAUUUAUAUACACCUUUCCUCCAAGAAGCCCAAGAUGGUGCACAUGGCCCUCUUCCUCUCCAUAGUGAUCUUCACAACGACUCUGUGAGGUAGAUUAGACUGAUUGGCUUAAAGUCACCCCAUAAACCUCAUGGUUUCUCCAACUUCUACCCAACACUAACUUUUAAGAAAAAACAAAAAGAUGUUAAGAAAGAGGAGGAGGAGGAGUUGGAGGAAAAUAUCCUGCCUAUUUCCCGUGCUUGUGUAGCUGCUCCUACAUUUCAGUCCUGGGCAUUCUCAAAUGUGAAGGAAGCCUGGACUGGAUAAAUGAGAACAGGUUCAAAUCUCUCUAUCAUUCCAAUGUGGCCCAGAGAAAAUCUUACUUUAUAACACCCCUGAAAAAACUGCACCCCCUCCUAGAAUGAAAGUGACAGAACAGCAAGGACAAAUGAUGUGCUGCAUGAACAGGAAGCAGACAUGUGCGUACUGUAAAUAGGUUUAUUUAUAUGCAGACAACAUAAUAUGUACACAUGGGAACUGCUGUACUCCUGGAUUACUGACCAGCAACUCCUGUAAUAUAUCAGUCAAGAGCAGUUUGACUAUACAACUGUUCCAAUAUAACAGGUGCAGAGGACAAAGUACGUUACCUAUGAAUAUCUGUUUAGUGUUAUUUACUCUUGAAAAUGUACAAGAUGAGAAACAAAGGCCAUAAAUGCAGUUCUCAUUCCCCAAUUUCCUUUGCUUAUAUAAAUAGGAACAAGUCUUUCCCAUAAUGGCGGUUGCAGCCUUGAGCUCUUGCUGUGAAGUUCCACACCCAAUAAUUGGCCACUUCCAUCUUGCAGGCACUGAAUUUAAAAAAGGAAUAGAGAAAAAGAAAAACCUAAAAUAAAAAAUGUUUUUGACACACAUCCACUGAUUCAACUCAGUGGUCUUCUUCUGCCUCUGGAGUCUCCAGGUUAGGGGAACAACAACAAGAAUAAGAACAACAAAAACAACAACCAUCAAAGUAUAAAUAACACACACAAACAAGCUUCUGGACUUUUCCCAGCCCCCACAAGUUAUUUGCAACCAAUACUGUCAAAGCAGCUGAAUCGCAGUGCAUCCGUGUGCAGGAGCAGGUAGCAGCUUCUGUGCAUUUUGCAAAAAUACGACCCCCCCCCCAAAAAAAAGAAAUCGCACAUGUAUUGACGCACGAAAAAAGUCUCUAUUGACUAGCUCAGUCUGUGGCCAAGAAACGGCUGUGCUGCUUCUGUGCUCUUUCCAUCAGGUUCUUUUUCUUCUUCUUCUUGUCCUUUGCCUUUGGUGUCCUCUUUCCUGAAAGAAAGCAUGGGGGAGAAACACAGACAAAUGGUGGUGAUCAGUAAACCAGGAAGUCACAGGAUGAUGACAGAAACACAGUAAGUGUUAUGCACCGGGGGAAAAGCUACAGAGCUAAAUUUGGGGAAGUGUUUUUACUGGGACUAUGCUUCGGAGUCUAAAAGCACAGUCCUAUUCAUGUUUAUACAGAAAAAGUCUUAGUGUGUGAAUGGAUUAUUUUUAACAGGAAGCUUUAAAAGCUGCCCUUUAUGCUUUUCUUUCCCUCUUUAUGUCCAAAAACACUAAACCUAAUUUAGAGUAAUUCUCAUUUGCAUUACAAAUACCUCUCCUUUACUUUGUAAUGUUAGAGAAAGUCAAAGGUGACUUAAAAUUCAUGUAUUAAGACCAUCUAAAGCAGCUGUCUCAAACUUGGUGACCUCCAGGUGCUUUGGUCUAGAACUGCCAUUAUCCCUGAUCAUUGUCCAUGCUGGCUGGGACUGAUGGGAAUGGAAUUCCAAACCAUUGUGUUGGUUGUGGAAGUGUUAGUUUGGCACAAAGGUACUUGGAAAACCAUAAGCCAAACAAGGCAUGAACUAGCAUAUGUCACUACUUAUAAAUUAAAACAAAAACAAAAAGCAAAGAUGAAAUUAAGUGUUGCAUAUUUGGAAAGUGGGACACAAGAACAGUUACAUGUUAUUAUACAAAAUUCCUCACAGAGAAUGUGCAAAAAAAUACUGUCAGGAUGUCUGGAGAAUUGAUUCCCAUUGCCAAAAAAAUAUCACCACCAACAGAUUCCUCAUGGCAAUGCAUCCCCAUCCAGAUUUACUACAGUUGUUUUGAUGAAGACUACAAUUCCCAUUGUUCCAGCUAGCAGGGAGCCCACCUAGCUGAAUCAGACUGCAUUAAUGAACCAGCCAUCAUCUGGACAUUCUCCAUGCGCCCCCUGGUGGACAGCAGGACUGUGAAAGACGGAAAAGAAGAAUCGGGUGUCUGUCACUGCCCAUGAACUACGAUGCCUCUAAAAAGGCCACCAGAACGCCAUUCUCUGCAGCUUCACUGAAGGUUUCUUCGGUAGUGUGGUGUCCCCAAGGAAGUGGGAAAAUGAAUAACCUGAGAACAAGGCUUCUGUUUCUUUCUACUCAAUGUCUGCUCUAUCAACAUGAAAAUAAAUUACAGUUAUACAAGAAAUGGAACACUAAUUCUGUGGCAGCAAGUGCCUGUGUUAAAAAAAGAAAGGCACAGUGCACAGGACUAAAGCACAAUUCCCUGGCGAUCAGUCCCAUUUAAUACCAUAGGAGUUUCUUUCUGAGCAAACGUGCAUGGAAUUUCAUUGUGAAUUCCCAAUGUGAUGGCACCAAGAAUAAUAAAUUUCAAUUAUAACUA